UCCAUCGGCUUUUCCCCAUUCUUAAUUUUCCCCUUUCUCCAAAAAUAAAACCCAAACUGAGAAAGCCCUAGAUUCUCCAACUCUUCCCCUCCCCUCGCCGGCAUCGCAGCGUCUCCGGUUCGAAAUCCCGGCAAGUGACAAGCCGCCGCCGCCACCGACGACUCCAGUGGGUGGAAACAGCCUAGCGAGCGCCGUCGAUGGACUGGUGGAGUCAGCACGGCACCGCGGCCGUCGCUGCUGUCUUGGUGACCUCGUCGCAGGACUCCCUCUGCCGGCACCCUUCGCCGCUGCCCUCCCCCUUCGCGAGGCAGUCUCGACACUCCCCGGCGCUUGCACAGCAGCUGCUGGAGUCAGCGGUGCUCGCCGUCGCUCCGCGAGGCUUCCGCCGUCGUCGCUGAUCCGCUGUUGGUCCGAGACUCACGCCGCCACUGCCGAUCUCCUUCGGCGGCGAGCCGUCGCGUGUCACGGUUGCCUUGCGGUCGACUCUCGGCUUCACCGUCUGGUCGCCGCCAACUCCGACAGAAACUCCCAAAGCUAAGCCUCCUAUAUUAGCUACUUAGGUGGUUUCUUUAAGUAUGGUCUGUUCUUGUUUUGCUUAUUCUUUGAUUUGGGCAGAUUGUGUUCGUUUGUCACAGAAACUGCAGUAGCUCGUCUAGAACGUUUUAGAUUUGUAUGAUUUUCUUUUUCUGGUGUCCAUUUGUGCAAAAGAUUGAGGGAAAAAAAAGGUUUAAGUUGUCUUAGCCACUGAUUUUGAACUAAGAGCGGCUUAUGCUUCUGGAUUUCUUAACAAGAUGUUGUUCUUCCAUUUCUAGCAUAGCUCUAAUGGUGCACAAACUGUAUUGUGAAGCAUUCAACACUAUUAUGCUAUGUUUUCCUAACACAUGAAUACUACAUGAUGAGUCUACUGUCAUUGCUUGAGCUUGAGAAAGAAAACGAGAUCUUACCUCACUCACUUGGCCCAAACUUCAGUUCUUCUCACUGCCUCAGUUCUUCUCACUGCCUCAGUCCUUCUUCCCUCCCUUUAGCUUACUUCUUUGCUACUGAGUGAGAGGUGUUGUGGUGUGGUAUAAUAACCGAGGGGUAGCAUGUGUAUAUAAACACAUAUCUUGUAACUGAAAGCUGCAGAGGCUGAGUGUUGGCUGACUUUGCAGCAUCCUUUAACUGUUUUGGUGGUUUGUGCUGCCUUGUACUCGGAUUCAUUUAUGUAUUUUGUCCCUUUUGCAGGUGCACACUAGAGCAAGCAUUUGGGGCUGAUUUCCGGACUAUAGUAGGUCCGGGUGGGGAAGGUAAGGGCUGUUAUCUGCAGCUUUGCAGAGUCUUAGCUGGAGAGGAGCCUGCUGGCUGGAGUUGCCUCUUUCGGUCAAACUCUCACCCCCAUCUCUGAAAGGAGCUGCGGCUGGCCAACGAGGCUGUCUUCCCUCGUGGUCUCGCCCUCCCAGCUCGUUUAAAAUCUGGGGCCAAGACUUGCCCGGUGACGAAGACCAAUGAAGUCGUUAGGGACUUCUAAAUGUAAUAGUGUAGUAGCUCGACUUUUAAUUCUGUCGUCAAAGAUUGUAACUUUAGUUUGAGAUUCUGAAAACUGUAAUUUGUACCUUUUCUCAAGAAAUAAAAAUACUCUUUCAUUCGUUAAA